ACGAACGCUGGCGGCGUGCUUAACCCAUGCAAGUCGAACGGUGAAGCGCCUUCCUUUUUGGUGGGUGUGGAUGAGUGGCGAACGGGUGAGUAACACGUGAGUAACCUGCCCCCUUCUUCUGGAUAACCGCAUGAAAGUGUGGCUAAUACGGGAUAUUCUGGGUCUGUCGCAUGAUGGGUCUGGGAAAGAUAUUGUUUCGGUGGGGGAUGGGCUCGCGGCCUAUCAGCUUGUUGGUGGGGUGAUGGCCUACCAAGGCGGUGACGGGUAGCCGGCCUGAGAGGGUGGACGGUCACACUGGGACUGAGACACGGCCCAGACUCCUACGGGAGGCAGCAGUGGGGAAUAUUGCACAAUGGGCGCAAGCCUGAUGCAGCGACGCCGCGGGAGGGAUGGAGGCCUUCGGGUUGUGAACCUCUUUCGCCAGUGAAGCAGGCCUGCCUCGUUUGUGGGUGGGUUGACGGUAGCUGGAUAAGAAGCGCCGGCUAACUACGUG
rnacentral:rRNA from 1 species